rnacentral:rRNA from 1 species
CCGAGGUGAAGAAGUCUGGGAUGGAAGCACUUAAGUGGGAGGANGGAGUAAGUUAUCCUUGAUGUUUGANUUGNGUACAGAAGANCACAGUCUAUCUCUGNCCAUCAGCGCGGUAAACAGAGGUACGAUCUUUAUGGGAAUUNAGGGAGUAAAGUGCGCGUAGGUGUUUGUUAAGUCGAUGNAAAAGCCGAGGUUCACCUUGGGACUGCAUCCACAGGUGGUGAGCUAGAGUACGGUAGAGGGUNGUGGAAUUUCCUGUGUAGCGGUGAAAUGGGUAGAUAUAGGAAGGAACACCAGUGGCGAAGGNGACCACCUGGAUUGAUACUGACACUGAGGUGCGACAGCGUGGGGAGCAAUCAGGAUUAGAUCCCUUGGUAGUCCACUCCGUAAACGAUGUCACGUAGCUGUUGGAAUCCUUGAGAUUUUAGUGGCGCAGCUAACGCAUUAAGUUGCCCCCUUGGGGAGUACGUCCGCAAGGUUAAAACUCAAAUGAAUUGANGGGGGCCCGCACAAGCGGUGGAGCAUGUGGUUUAAUUGGAAGCAACGCGAAGACCCUUACCAGCCCUUGACAUGCAGAGAAUUUUCCAGAGAUGGAUGGGUCCUUUCGGGAAUUCUGACACAGGUCAUCCAUGGCUUUCGUCAGUUCGUGUCGUGAGAUGUUGGGUUAAUUCCCGUACCGAGCGCAACCCUUGUCCUUAGUUCCCAGCACGUUAUGGUGGGCACUCUAAGGAGACUGCCGGUGACAACCCGGAGGAAGGUGGGGAUGACGUCAAGUCAUCAUGCCCCUUACGCCCUGGGCUACACACGUCGCUACAAUGGUCGGUACAGAGGGUUGCCAAGCCGCGAGGUGGAGCUAAUCUCACAAAACCGAUCGUAGUCCGGAUCGCAGUCUGCAACUCGACUGCGUGAAGUCGGAAUCGCUAGUAAUCGCGAAUCAGAAUGUCGCGGUGAAUCCGUUCCCGGGCCUUGUACACACCGCCCGUC